AUAUUUCAUGCACAAUCUCCAAAAGCUAAAUAGGGACCCUAUUGCAAAACCUACCCAUCUGUGAGUAGAACUGAAGUGGGAAGAAGCAAACAGAAACAGCUCCUGUGCCUCGUGGUUCUUACCAGCUAAGGGCUGCUUCUAGGGCCUGAUUCUGACACUGGGAGGAGGUGCUCACUCACCCAUGUGAACAAGGAACAGACCUCUGGAUUCAUCCACGUGUCUCCCAUGGAUCCAGGAAGUACCAAGGGCACCUCAUUGCCUGGGGCUAGACAUGAUCUGACUGCAGUGUCACAGUGCUUAGGUCACAAUGGAAGGUCUUCAACAUUGGACUCAAGGCAGCACAAGACUAAUCAACAAGAAUUGGGUCACAGAGGGAACAGGAACAUUGACAUGAAGAAAAGCAUUUAUAUUUCAUAAUAUUUCAAAUAGAAAAACUAUUUUUUUCUCUUCACUACAGAACAGGAUAUUUGAGUGCCUUCUACUGCAUUUUUCCAAAUGAAUGGCUCAGCUGCAUGGGGUAAAGUUUUCCUGCUAUUUAACAAAAGCCAACAUAUUUGCAAUCCUUUGUGGACUGGUAGUUUUGUGAAAUGUAGGACAAAGCUGAGAUCCAGAUACUGAGAUGAUUAUGCUGAGACCCAUGUGUAGGGGGAGUCUGAACCAAACUCAGAGAGCUGGGGGUUUGCUGAACUUUUCCAGAACAGAGCAUCCAUGAGAGUCUGAAGGGUCAGGAAUCGCAGACGGGAACAGAAGACAAAAAUGUCCACAUGAGGCCCAGGUAUCUUAUCUUUCUACUCAACCACAUGCCUCCUCUCCUUCUCAACGUUUAAAUCUUUGCUCAAACACACUCUUGUUUUUUUUUUUAAAGGUUUAUUUUAUUUAUUUGAAAGAGUUACAGAGAGAGGUAGAGACAGAGAGAGAGGUAUUCCAUCUGCUGGUUCACACCUCAGAUUGCUGCAAUGGCCGAUGCUGUGCCAAUCCGAAGCCAGGAGCCAGGAACUUCUUCCGGGUCUCCCAUGUGGGUGCAGGGGCCCAAGGACUUGGGCCAUUUUCUACUGCUUUCCCAGGCCAUAGCAGAGAGCUGGAUUGGAAGAGGAGCAGCCAGGACUCGAACUGGUGCCCAUAUGGGAUGCCGGUGCUUUAGGCCAGGGCUUUAACCCACUGUGCCACAGCACUGGCUCCAAACACUCUCUUCUUAAAGUGACUUUCCCUGACUACCUAUGCACAUUUGCAAUCCAUUCCACUCCCAGAACUCCUUGUCUUCUUGUGAAAUUUUGCUGCUUUUCCCCUUAGUAUUUAUGUCUUUGAACAUCUAUAUAUUUGCUCAUUUUUUUAUUCUCCUGGUGCUUAAUUAGUGAAAAUCGAUCCUUC
rnacentral:lncRNA from 1 species